rnacentral:rRNA from 1 species
AUACCGCGAAACUGCGAAUGGCUCAUUAAAUCAGUUAUCGUUUAUUUGAUAGUACCUUACUACUUGGAUAACCGUGGUAAUUCUAGAGCUAAUACAUGCUAAAAAUCCCGACUCACGGAGGGAUGUAUUUAUUAGAUUAAAAACCAAUGCCCUUCGGGGCUUCUUGGUGAUUCAUAAUAACUUCGCGAAUCGCAUGGCCUUGUGCCGGCGAUGGUUCAUUCAAAUUUCUGCCCUAUCAACUUUCGAUGGCAGGGUCUUGGCCUGCCAUGGUUACAACGGGUAACGGAGGGUUAGGGCUCGACCCCGGAGAAGGAGCCUGAGAAACGGCUACUACAUCCAAGGAAGGCAGCAGGCGCGCAAAUUACCCAAUCCCGAUUCGGGGAGGUAGUGACAAUAAAUACCGAUACAGGGCUCUUUUGGGUCUUGUAAUUGGAAUGAGUACAAUUUAAAUCCCUUAACGAGUAACAAUUGGAGGGCAAGUCUGGUGCCAGCAGCCGCGGUAAUUCCAGCUCCAAUAGCGUAUAUUAAAGUUGUUGCAGUUAAAAAGCUCGUAGUUGAACCUUGGGCCUGGCUGGCCGGUCCGCCUCACCGCGUGCACUGGUUCGGCCGGGCCUUUCCCUCUGGGGAUCCCCAUGCCCUUCACUGGGUGUGGCGGGGAACCAGGACUUUUACUGUGAAAAAAUUAGAGUGUUCAAAGCAGGCCUAUGCUCGGAUACAUUAGCAUGGAAUAAUAGAAUAGGACGUGCGGUUCUAUUUUGUUGGUUUCUAGGACCGCCGUAAUGAUUAAUAGGGACAGUCUGGGGCAUCAGUAUUCAAUUGUCAGAGGUGAAAUUCUUGGAUUUAUUGAAGACUAACUACUGCGAAAGCAUUUGCCAAGGAUGUUUUCAUUAAUCAGGAACGAAAGUUAGGGGAUCGAAGACGAUCAGAUACCGUCGUAGUCUUAACCAUAAACU